AAGUCUAUCGGAUGUCUCCUUUCUUUCGGUGUCGUCUAUGGAGAUCGAAGCCGCUUUGGAAAAUGAACAAGGGUUACUGGCGUUCUCCGUCCCGAAGUUAGUUCGCAGUCCAAAGCACGCCGGAUAUUUUUUGUUUUGAGAAAACAAUAGUAACCGCUUUUCUGCUUCCGAUUCGUUAACAACGUCAAUAUGUAUUUUUUAUUUGUUAAUUCCAUUUUAGGGCCUGUGUUUACGUAUCUUACUUUAAAUACUCUGCCAUUGUGUCGUUUGUUUCAUUUAAAUAUAAGUGCGGUCAUUGAUUAAUUUUAGCCAUUGAUAUUUUAUGUUAUCGCAAAAUGGCGCAUCUUCCUCCGUAAUUACCCCUCCUUCUGCGUUGCUGAAAAGAUUGACGACGUCUCUAACCAAUAAUGCAUGCGUUGUCAUGUUUUGGAGGCGUUGGUUGGCUCUUCAUGACAUCACUUGACCGUGAGAGGAGGGUGGGCUCUGAGCUGCGAGGGGAGAGCGGCGCAAGCGGAGAAGAACCAUCUUGCUUCAAACGAGGCGACGGCGCCAUUAGAGGGCAGGGUACAACAACCGUGCAAGAGCAGUGCAGAGCGUUUCUAUUGUUUAUGGAUUUUCUGAAUGUAUUCUGUAUGCGCAAGUAUAUUUCUUUGCAAACGGAGUAUCGCUUGUUGAAGUAACGCACACAUUUUAUUAAUAUCUGUAGUGAGGAUAUGGUGGCCGUAUAGAAGAUGGCGGCGGAGUCAACCUUUGGUUAGUGUCAAGAACGCGCAGUUAGGGGUGGGACUGCGCGAUCCCGAGAGUAGCACAGCGGAAAGCCAGCAGAAGGGGGGCACUUCCUGUUUUGACGUUUCAGUGGCUAAAAGACAAAAAGCCAUUUAAAUCUUGGCGAGCCCUUAAAGGGUGCACUUUUCCUCGUUUUGGACUCAACAUUGUUUCCGUCUUUGCUCCAGACGUCACUCUUCAACAGUUCCGUAUGGUUUGGUAAUGAUUAGCAGUUGGGGAGGUGAUCCUAUUUUCUACCAGUCUUAAAUUGGCUUUCAUUAGCUAGAUGCUCGAGUAUUUGUAACGGGGCCAGACUGGAAUUAGUGAAGGAGUAACGGGAGUGAGCAAACUUAAAAUGUUGCGGGGUUUCUCGCAAAGUACUGCAUAUGACAAACAUUCAAAUCCUUUUUGCGUUAAAAGGAUAACCGGAAACGCAGAGCUAAUCUAUUAACGUUAGUUCAUUGAAUUUUGUUGUUAUUGUGUUAUUGAUAAUAGUAACUCUAGCUUGCUAUGUCGUUUCAUUUAAUGCACAAUUCUUGCGAUGUAUUAUAACUACUUUACGUUAAAUCGCGUUAUGUCUAGACAGCUUGGAAAGAUCACGAACGAGUUCAUUAGCUAAAGUUACUGCCCGGGUCCGCCAUGUUGUCGUCCGCUGCUUCUCGUCUUGUCAUUAGUAAAUGGCGAAUGCUUUUUUUUUCUGUGCCACUUGGAUGUAGCCACUAGCUAACCCAGAGCUUGAGGUUCAUUUGUGAAACCUUGACAUGGGCGUGGCAUGGACGACAUUGCACAAUCAGCCAUAAUGUUUUAGUGCAUUCGUUUUAUUUUUGAAAUACUUUGGUCGAUUUCUCAAAUUGCGACGGUAUGUUGUGUAGAUAACUAUAGAAGCUGUAUACCCCAGUAAACAAGCGUCGAUUGUGCUGUUCUGUUAAAUCGUGCUAGUUUUAAAAUGAACUAGCUCGCCAAACAUUUAUUUUUUUGUAUGUUUUUUCAGGGGCUACCUUGUCCGUAUGCAGUGGUGAGUUUUGCAUAGUACUGCCAUGGUUUCCAGGCAGCAAGUCUGAUUGUUUUUGUGUGCAGCAGUUAAGAGGAUUUUGUAGUAAAGUCUUGCAUAUGAUAUCUUUUUGUUCUGUGUCCAUGUUUUUCUCUGCCUGACAUGGUGUUCCUUACCUAUAAUUAAUAUUCAUCUGGCUCAGUACAUGUACCACAGCCUCCAGAGGUCAUUUAGGAUGAAAUGGUGGGAGGUGAUGUAUGGAUGGGGUAACAUCUGUCGCAGCAUUUAAUGUGCCUUUGUAGGUUGUUUGAAUAAAGAAAUAUAUGUAAAAUAUAUAAAUUCUCUUACCACUCCUCAGCCUUGCUGGGUAGCAUGCAUCAUCUGAGGUGAUGCAUGCUACCCAGCAUCAUCCAAGGUGUUUGAUUAUGACCGCACCAACUGGCUAAAUUAUAAAACAGUCACUGAAUCUGCAUGGGAAGUAUUGUGUGUCACAGUUGGUCUAUAUAGAGGUGGGAGGGAGUAUAGCUGGAGUAAUACAAUACCUGUCCAUUGUCAACUGCUUAAGGCCAGUCAUAAAGCACAAUUAAAUCUUACCUGGGUAUUACAGCUACACCCCCCCCCCUUCCAAUUCCUCCAUGCAAAAUUUGUUCUGGCACAAUAUCGGUGGACAGCAAAUUUCAGGUCAUAGAUUUAAGGCUGGGUUUUGGCUCGACAGAAUACGGACCUCCUUUUUAAGCCAUUCCUUUGUGUUCUUUGGGUCAUUGCCCUGUUUGAACAUGAAUCUUUGUUCUAAAUACUGAUCUUUAGCAGACUGAAACGGGUUCAAGGAUUUGCCUGUAUUUGACUCCGUUCCUCCUGCUGAAAAGAAACCCCAUCACAAUGCUUUAUGGCAGGGACAGUGUUACCUUAGUAAUGGGCUGUGUUUUGGGGGGGGGGGGGGGGGGCGGCUUGUGGCAAACUUCAUGAUCUGCAUUAAUGUUGACCUUUCUCAGAAUUCACUUCUGUCCAGCCACUCUCACAGAGGCCAGAUCUGAAGAGAUUCUUGGUCUAUGGACAGUUUCUCCCAUUUCAGCCAAUCAGCUCUGCAGCUUCUUUCCCCACAGUAUUAUAGCUGGCCUUUUAGUGACUUCUCUGACGAUUGCCCUUGUCCGUUUGCUCAAUAUUGGAGGAUGGCCUGCUGUUGGUAUUGUCUGGGUUGUGGCAUUUUGUUUCAGCAGACUUAACCAUUACUCCAAGAAAGGUCUUUAUAACCAAGUUAUUUCUCAAAGUUACAUGGGCAGUUCCUUGAUCUUCACAACAGGGCAGCUGAUCUGACCUGCCAUUUCAGUUCAGCCAUGUAAUUGAACACAGGUGGACUUUUAUUGAGGGUAGAAAAAUAGAGUAUAAACAUAUUUUAAUUUGGCUUUGUAGCACACCAAAAUGAGAAAUAACUGUCAGAAGAUAUGUAUCUGGCAUGGCUGAAGUCCUCAGUUGAACAAAAUGUUUUCUUUACUAGAAUUCAAUUAAAAAGUCUUUCAGUAUGAGGUGAGGUUUAACUUUGAGGCCCAUCUGAUAGUUGAUAUUCUCGUGAAUUUUAAGAUAUGAAGUGUUAAGACCUGUGCUCGUAAUGGUCGUUUCAUUUCAGGUGCUUUUCUAGAUCUUUAUCACCUACUGCCUGCUCCACCAUCAUCUCUGCUGCAGCUAUCCAGAGAAGACAAUGCAGCAGCUGGUUGCUGGGUGUCAAACAACCGUUCUCAUGUAGUUCCACAGUUGUACAAGAAUGCGUUUAUGGGUGUCGCAAUUCUGUUUGGAUGUUUGGACCCGUCCUCCCUUGGGCUUGAAGGCUGCUUGAGAAAGCAAAACCGCUCACCAGGAAAGCACUAUAUAAUGAGCCUUUUCAAAAGGUUUGCAAUGCGGUUGUUUUGUUGGGAUAUUCUAAAGCAAAAUGUUUUAAUCCCUAUACUUAAUUUUACUUUUGAUAAACACAGGAAGAGACAGUAUUGUGGGGCUUAAAUGAUGAAUUGUUUAAACGGAAGACUACAUUUCAAAGCAUUGCCUUAAAUGGCAAUCAGGCUAGCAGGUGUCUGCUCAACUGGCACAUCUCACGUAAUGGUCUCAAUUCAUUUUCCUUUGGAUUAUUCCAAGUUGUACAGUUGAACAGAUUUUUUUUUUAAUCACCCACGCUUGAAUAAAAUAUGUUUUCAUAAAAUUAUGACUGACAGUUGGCAACGGGAGAAUAACGCCUGCAACGCACGUCAGAAUUCCAUAAACAGACGCAGCAGAUCCGUGCAUGUAUCGAUACCUGGUUUGCAAAUAUAUAAUGCUGCAGAAAUAUUCUGCUAAAAGUAAAAUCAUCUGUGAAUAAUUAUAAAAUGUAGAGCCCGCUAACAAUUAUCUGGGGCAUUUGGGCUUGUACAUUCCUAAAAAUAACCGAUUCCAAAGCAAAGUGUACGUGUGCUUCUGUAAAUUAUCAAAAUGGCAGUGAGCUGGGCAGCUUCAUAAGAAUGGUGUACUUUGCAUAUAAAACCAUUUUUGACAUCCGCAUCUGUUCAUUACACAGAUAGCAUUGGCUGCGCGUUCUGAAAUGUCAUUUCUGCUGGAACCUCGAACAGCUAUUAAAAGGAAGUGCAAACGGUUACUGUCAAAGUAUUACCAGCAAGCCUCGAAAUUCAAUAUACCAACAUGAAUACCAAACAUGUUGAAUUCGAUAUGCUAAAAACAUUUUCUUGGUCAGCGUUUUCUGCAAAUAUUAGCAACUGCACACCAAAGCGCAUUUGGAUCUCGGUGCCGGCGUUAAUUGGCUGAAUAUGAAUUUAAAUAGCUUAGAGGCUGAAAGACCGUUAUGUGGCACCCAUUAAGUCACUAACCUCGGCAGACGUGCUCAUCUGUAUAUCCGCAUUUAGAAACGAGUCACUACUGAUGACGAUACAGUAAUUUAGGAAUUAAAGAGGAUGUUACCCUUGCGAACAACGCCUACGUUAAAAUUUCUGACACAAACAACCAAAGAGACCCGCAUGCCAACACAUUACAGAAGCAGUGUCGUGUAACAUUAAAACAUCCGUUAUCCGCCUAACAUUUAUAAAGCGCCCCCUGGUGUGAGCUGAGAAUAGUUACAUUGUUGCGGUGCAGUAAAAAAAAAAGGGGGGGGGACAGUUGUUUGAAUGGGGUAAUCAGUUUAUUCCGAUGUAGGUUGCAUAGUUGGUUACGGUCAAGUUCCUGUCGCACGACGGAAAUGCAUUUCAGGUUAAAAUACAUACUGUUUCACCAAAGGUUUAUAAAUUGAAAUCUCAUCGGUUGGCGAGACUCUGAAGUCCUAGUCCUGUAAAAACAUUAUGUAGCCUAUAGGACAGCAAAGUUCACAAUAGUUUUCUAAGGUAAACUGGUUUAACCCCAUUACGAAUGGUGCUCAAUAUAUCCCAUAGAACAUUUGCAAGUUAAUAUAGGUGAUAAGCCAUAUAUCUGCUUGUAUUUAUAGCCUAAUGAGGAAAAAGAUACUCACACACUAUAUUAAAUGGCCCCAAGGAAAGUUUGAUGGUGCAAGCAUGUAAUAGAUCUCAAAAGGUCUUUGUUAGGUAUACUUCAUACUCCCAACACCUGUGCAAUGUAUGUGUCUUUAUACUACCUUUCUCUUUACUAAUAGGUAAGUCAACAGGAUGCCAGGUGUCCCAGAAUGUUCACAGCACCUUACCUGCUUUUUCCCCAGCAAUAAAUUUGGUUUCAUUAAAGGCAGCUCCUAAUAGGGGCUGUUACCAGAACUAUUUCUAUCUUCAGUGAUGGAGGAGGCAUGGAUAUUUUGCCAGUAUAAGGUUGUUUUUGUUGAUGUUUUUAGUGAAAAGUGGUUUGUGGCUCAUACAGACAGAAUCACCACAGAUAUGUCAAGGAACAUUACCUCACAGACACCUCCACACCCCUGAAGGCUUCUGUGAAAUUUAAAAACAUGUAAAUAUAUUUUGACUGAUGAAGACGACUAGCCAUGGACCCCACUCAACUGACUGACUGAUUGAACCUGUCCUCCAGAUAGCUCAGCAUAAUCCUAAAUAAAUUCUGUUAAAUCAUGACAGGUAAUGUGCAACACACCAUUUUUAACAUUACAAAAGCAAAUAUAGAAAAUAGUAAAGGAAGAGUGGCACUUAUUUUAUGUGAACACAACAGCCACAUUUCUACCUUAAUACUUUAAACGUUCUUUUAAAAAUCAUGCUUGAUCCCUGUAUUAGAUUAUACCAUGACGGAUGAAACUCUGCUGCCAGUAUAUUGCACCUAUAGGGCACGAUUCUGUUUUUUUUUUUUUUUUUUUUCCAUUUGUAUUUUAAGUGCUAUUAAGAUAAGGAUAAUGCUGUCUUUAAAUGCCGUAUAAUAAUAAAGCUAAACUAAGAA